GCACAUCGAGAGGGACAGCAGGAAGACCUCCCCAGGCAAGGAGCGGCAGCCGAGCGGCAGCGAGUACCUGUCCAGAUGCCUGGACCUCCUCAUCCGCCACAUGGUGCGGGAAGUGCCGCGCCUCCUGGGUGACAUUCUCACCGCCCUGGCUAAUGUGUCCGGUCGUAAACACCCGUCACCAGUUCAGGCGAAGCAGCUGAAGCUGUGUCUGCCCCUGAUGCCCGUGGUGCUUCACCUCGUCACCUCCCAGGUAUUUCGACCUCGAGUUGUGACGGAAGAGUUCCUUUUCAGUUAUGGA